AACGAACGCUGGCGGCAGGCUUAACACAUGCAAGUCGAGCGCCCCGCAAGGGGAGCGGCAGACGGGUGAGUAACGCGUGGGAACGUGCCCUUUGGUUCGGAACAACUCCGGGAAACUGGAGCUAAUACCGGAUAAGCCCUUACGGGGAAAGAUUUAUCGCCAAAGGAUCGGCCCGCGUCUGAGUAGCUAGUUGGUGGGGUAAUGGCUCACCAAGGCGACGAUCAGUAGCUGGUCUGAGAGGAUGAUCAGCCACACUGGGACUGAGAAACGGCCCAGACUCCUACGGGAGGCAGCAGUGGGGAAUAUUGGACAAUGGGCGCAAGCCUGAUCCAGCCAUGCCGCGUGAGUGAUGAAGGCCUUAGGGUUGUAAAGCUCUUUUGUCCGGGAAGAUAAUGACUGUACCGGAAGAAUAAGCCCCGGCUAACUUCGUGCCAGCCGCCGCAGUAAGAC
rnacentral:rRNA from 1 species